rnacentral:rRNA from 1 species
AACGAACGCUGGCGGCAUGCCUAACACAUGCAAGUCGAACGAGACCUUCGGGUCUAGUGGCGCACGGGUGCGUAACGCGUGGGAAUCUGCCCUCUGGUACGGAAUAACUCAGGGAAACUUGAGCUAAUACCGUAUAAUGACUUCGGUCCAAAGAUUUAUCGCCUGAGGAUGAGCCCGCGUCGGAUUAGCUAGUUGGUGAGGUAAGGGCUCACCAAGGCGACGAUCCGUAGCUGGUCUGAGAGGAUGAUCAGCCACACUGGGACUGAGACACGGCCCAGACUCCUACGGGAGGCAGCAGUGGGGAAUAUUGGACAAUGGGCGAAAGCCUGAUCCAGCAAUGCCGCGUGAGUGAUGAAGGCCUUAGGGUUGUAAAGCUCUUUUACCCGGGAUGAUAAUGACAGUACCGGGAGAAUAAGCCCCGGCUAACUCCGUGCCAGCCGCCGCCGUAA